UCUUCAUCUCUCGAUUUACCUUCGCAAGUUUGAAAUUAGAGUUUAAUUGGACAAAACAUGAGCUAAUUUGUAGCCUGCCUGCUGAUGUAUUGAAUUUUAUGCUAUCUAUCUUGUGUGUCGUCAUCUAGGCAUCUUUUGUUCUUUGAGCAGCUUAACUUACUAGUGAAGGAAAGUUGAUUAAAUUGUACCUAGAAAACUUAGAUUUGGUGAUUGAUUUUGAGAGUUCGAAAUGUAUGAGGUUCAAAGCAAAUUUCUUCAUUAUUAAAAUGCAAAUUACUAGAGGUGAAUUGGAUGUUAAAUUAUAUAAUUCGUUAGUCUUCUUUUCCUCUUUGCUUUGGCUAUAUCUCAGUUUUACAGUGCAUUUGGUUGUACGGACAGAAAGGUAUCUUACAGUGUACAGGAAAUCUAUAGAUGUUCCUCUUCAUUUGAGUUCAUACAUCAAUUGGUUCUGGCCCAAAGACUCAUAUCCGCAACUAAUUCAGCAUGCGUACUGGAACCUCUAGCCAGGCAGGUCAUCCAAGAGAACCAUGACAGAGAAAUGGGUUGAUCUUAUUUAAACUCCUCGUUGUAAUAAUAUUUUUUAUGAUGGAACAUAUGCAGGGCCGGCCCAAGGGAUUUGGAGGUCCUAGGUGAAAUCGGAGGAAAAACACUUCAAAAGAAAAGGUAUCAUGCAGGGCUCAAACUCAGACGUUCCGUGUGGUAAGAUAUCGCCUUACCGCUGAGCCAACAAAGAGUCUUCUCUUGUAAUAUGAACAAAUUAUAUUUAUACUCAUCUAAGAAGGGGGCCCCUAUUUUGGGCGCAGAAUUGGAGGCCUUAGGCAGCAGCCUCUUGGGCCUUGCCCUGAACAUAGGCCAUUUCAACCCACUGUAGUAUGAUUAUUUUUCCUUGCCAGUUACUGAACUUUUUGAUAUCUUAAAUUUCUAGCAUCUUGUAGUGUUAGUUUGUGAUGUGAUGUGGAGGUGUUGUGCUGGGUUCUUAUUUCAUCCUACUUGAGUUUGUUGAUGGCAUCUUGUGGAUUAUAAGUGAAAAUAAAAGCAGGGCAGCAUAGCUGUAAACUUUUGUUUCUUUAAAUCAAUCCCUUUCUAGUCCUCUGGAUCAACGUCAGGGAUGUUACUGGUGUAGGACCGUUAGUAACUCCAAACCACUGUUCAUUUAGUGCAUUCCCCCUCUUAAUUUAUACAGGUUCAAGUUGCAACGUAUUGUUUGUUUGUUGUUUCUACUAGCAAACCACUGUCACCAAAGCAUAGUUCUGGAAUAAUUGUUUACCGUGCAAGGGGUAUUGAAUGGAGAAAGCUGUACUUAAUUGCCACUUGUAAUGCUUUUCCAAAGUGGAUUCUUACCUGAUGCAAUUAACUGUCCUCAAGGAUCCUACCCUGCCUUCCGGCCUAUAUAAACUAUUUUGCUGACAUGCCUAUAGAAAA